GGAUAUUGUGGGGGCUGCGCGAGGAUUGGAAGGCCGGCGGGGGUUGGUAGAGGUUGGGGCCGCGUAGGGUCGGGGCCGCGGGGUGGGGCCGCGUAGGGUCGGGGUCGCGGGGGGAAGGGCCGCUGGGGUCGGGGCCGCGCGGAGUCGGGGCCGCGGGGGUCGGGGCCGCUGGGAUCGGGGCCGCGCGGAGUCGGGGCCACUGAGGGUAGAGGCCGGAGGAGGGAGGCAGCGGCGGCGCGGAGAGCGGUGGAGGGAGGCGGUGGUUGGGUCUAGGGAGGCUCGUGGCACGCGGUAGAGGACGCUAAGGGCGGUGGCGGACAAAGAUCGCGCCGAGAGGCGGAGGGUCGCUGCUGCUCCUUCUACUGCCCCCUCGACGGGCAGAAUUGCGUACCGCGGGGACCAGGAACCUAGGGGCGAGGGGAGGCCGAUGGGAUGAGCGAGCGGGCCGCGAGCGAGGCCACUGGUCGGCGCGCAGUGUGCUAUCUAGGGGUUCGAGGAAGUGUAAGUCGCGGCGGCGGUGCGUUGGAGUAGAGGCAAAAGAGAAGUAAUGCUGGACAUCGGACAUCCUCAAAGAAGUCGACGCCAAGUUGUUCUUUUGGUCGCCGUCAGGUACGUGGGCAAGAUAGAGAAAGGAGAGAUUACGAGAAAUAGAAUGAUUAAACAAAAGAUAACCUUGACGUCGGGCUCCCUCCAACCUGCCUGUCGUAUAACCGCUACAACUGUAGUCAAACAAAUAUAACUUGACUACUAGCACAUAAUCAUGAUGACUUCAGUUCGUUACUCAAGUUACCUAAGGUUUUUCCUUUUUUAAUACCUACCCACUACUUAGUUGAAGGACAUGACAACACGGUAAUCGUAACCUGCUGGGGCUGGUGACCGUGGUGACGAAGGGAUGGAGGACGAACGUAGCGGUAGAGGGCCACCCCGAGACGGCGGCCUCGUGGGACCGGCAAGUGUCGGUGGUGAGAUCCGGCAAGUUGCGGUAGUGGGGUCCGGAAAGUAACGGUCGUCGUGGGACCUAGGGUGGGGAGUGGGAUCCUCAAAGUCAAUAGCUGUUCAGGUACAUCAUGAUGUACGCUUCAUGUUUUUAAUGACGAUCACUCUCAAGUAAAUUUAGGACCUUCAAGUUGCGACGUUGAUGUCCGGUAAGUUAGAGAGGCAGCACCUGUGCGGGGAGGUGGAGGAAGACCAACGAUCAGUAGGGCCACACCGGUCCGGCGACCCAAGCGGCGACGACGCUAGUCGUCAGGUUGGGCCGGCGGGGUCCGGCAAGUGGCAGCGUCGAGGGACCGGCUGACACAGCUCGGUGGAAGGCGGACGUGGAACCCGAGGGCAUACGCAGGGGAUGGGGUCGUCCUUUUAUACCACCGGAAGUCGUUCAUUAGAAAGAGAUUGCCCGUAGGAUACGGACGCGGUGGCUCUCGGACUAGGAUGAACGACACACGAGUGCCGUUGGUGUUCGUAGCGACGACGACCAAGCACGAUGUAUUUGUUUGUCUCAAUUUCUUGUAUCUACUCUCCUUAAGUCAAGUCCUUCUAAUUUCCCAAUUGGAGGACCCUAUGUGCUUCAAAGUCAAGCAGCUCUCCGAAGGACCUCGAAGUUUUGUAAAGUGAAGUGGAAAAAUCCGAAAAAGUCAUGUAGAAUGUUUCACACAAAGGAAAGUAGUAAAAAUAGAUGAAUUUUCUUCACAUCUUUGAACUCCUUUAUGGGGGUUUUAGUACACACGGGAGUCGUGAGAAGAUGCACGAACAAGAUUACGAAUACUCUUAAUAAGAAGUUCCAGUAUUAAACCUUGAUCUAUUGAAAAGUAUCUACUAACAUGACUUCGAUCCACAAAUUGUCUUAAUAAAGAGUAUUCAAGCGUUUAGUGGAUAACCAAACCCAAUGUAGAGUAGGUGUAGAAGUGCUUUUUUCAACCUUGAACGUAGAUAUAAAUACAAGGCCAAUGGAAGCCAAUUAACAUGACUUAAACCGAUUAACAUCGAAUAAUCAUGAUUUGAAAACACGUACACGAUGGAAAACAUUUCAAGUAGAACAGAUCAUAUAUAAUGACGACAGCAACUAACGUCUAAAACAAAAACCCUUAAGGUGGCAACUAGGGUUCGAGGUGCCCGUAAAGUACGUAAGCGACCAGACACACACGUUAAUAAGAUAAUACCUCUACAGUCAAGUAAUGUCGCGAUGAGGCCGAAAAAAGAGGAUGUUGUUCUGAACGCAUACCGAUGUCCAAGUAUAGUUCCUUCAAAUCUUUUUAACGUCGCGGAAAGUCAAGUAACAUACUUUUUUCGUUUCAAGUAGAACAGAUCAUCUCCAACGACGACCACAGGCAAGUAACAGCUAAAGCAAAACCCUUUAAAGGUUUUGAAUGACGACUCUUGCCUACGUCAAACUAGAACGCGUUCAACCUUUAAGGGACUACGACUCACACAGUCAUGUUGGGAUGCAGUGUGUCCCUUGUCACACACAUGUAAAAACCUAAAUUAAAACCUUCCAAGCGUGUAGGUAUAAUCUCUCUAAGUAGCCUGUAUUAAAACAUUCAAGUCUUUUUCGUUAACGAGUCAUGUAGUGUCGUCGAGAAGUUACGUUUUUCCUACCGAGAAGAGUUCAGUCGUCGAUUGACUUGACCGUUGAAGUCCCAUCGAGUCAGUUUAUACCGUCGACACGUCAUUUGUUGAAGUCAACUCUUUAGUCGUUCGCGGUACGAGUCAGGUUGGGGCACCGAAGUCCCACCGGCUCAAGCAGCGCUGGUAGUCAAACCUCUGGACGCAGUGACGGGCACAGCGAUGGUACCGGUGGACGUAGUGACGCACGAGGCAGUUGUCGGAGGACGUGUUCCUUUUCGUUGGCCUCAUCUCCGAAAACUCUACGAGACAAGAUCGCUCCACCGACUAAUACAAACAGUCAAACAUUAUGAAACCGGCGUCAAAUGAAUACAUAGAAAAAGACCGGCCUCGUGCUGGUCUCGAAUACAGUCAUACUUGAAACUAACACUACCAUGAUGUUUGAGAUAUUAAUGAAUGGAAAAUAUGUUAGGUGAACCUAACACGGGGAUAAUGGUUGACACCAUGUUUUUACGUGACACGAGUGGUAAAAUAAAAUCAAGUAGUCAAACAUUAUGAAAUUUCUCUCCUCCAUUUUCACUUGGUAAACCAAAACAUAAUAUUUUUCACAAUUACACUCUUUGAAGUUUUUGUAGAACAAAUUAUUCAAGACGAACAAGACACAUAUCAUAAAUAAG
rnacentral:rRNA from 1 species